ensembl:piRNA 21ur-2487 ncRNA
UGUUGUUCUUUUGCCGCUUGU